rnacentral:rRNA from 1 species
UACGUAGGGGGCAAGCGUUGUCCGGAAUUACUGGGCGUAAAGGGCGCGUAGGCGGCCCGCUAAGUCGAACGUGAAAUCCCCGAGCUCAACUCGGGAACUGCGUCCGAUACUGGCGGGCUUGAAUCCGGGAGAGGGAUGCGGAAUUCCAGGUGUAGCGGUGAAAUGCGUAGAUAUCUGGAGGAACACCGGUGGCGAAGGCGGCAUCCUGGACCGGCAUUGACGCUGAGGCGCGAAAGCUAGGGGAGCAAACGGG